CCUUUUCAGACAGUCUUAAAGCCAUAAUAAUAAUAGCUGACAUUUAUUGAGUGUCUACUAUGUGCCUAUUGCUCUAAAUGCUUGAUUUAAUACACUUAUCUCCCUUAUCCCUUUCAAUGACCCAAGGAAGUAGGCACACAUUAGGUUCCCAUUUAGAAUGGGGGCCCAGAGAAAGGGUGAGAAAAGCCAGCCAUGUCAUUGCUUCCUUGGUGGGAGAUCUUUCUUCCCCAGGAGAACGACUCUCUAAAGGCCAACUAGGGCAUCCCUCUGCCUCUGGCCAGGACUGACUCAGAGAACCACAUCUGGUGAGGAGGAGGGCUCUGGAUCAGGCUGAGGGGUCUUGGGUAGAAGUUGGUUCUUGGUGUUUUGUUCAAGGUCAUAGUCAGAAGGUCAUUCUUACAGCUGAACUGAAACCCUCCUUAUCCCCAACACACCCCUGUAUUACAGGGAGUGUCAGCUGGAGUGGGGUCAGCAUUUUCUCUUUACCAGGUCCCCACCUUCUGGCAGGUUGAAGCAGGUGUCUGGACUCUUAAUUCAAUGUUCUUCCUUUGGGUCCCAAGAUCCUAACAUUCUCCCUCUGUCCCGAAGCUAGACACCGGGCCUGGGGCUCCCCAUCCUUCUCUCCUCCUUCACACCCCAGCUGGCAGCCCCCUGCCCUGUGACACUCCUUUAUCACCCUCAGGAGCAGAAUGGGGCCCCCUGUACCCUACUACGUGUGUCUUUCCUCUUUCCGCAGCCUGGCUCAGGGCCUAUCAGGCUGUGGCUGGAAGUUUUGCCCUUUAAAAAAGAUGUCUUUCUUUUAAAGGGUGAGGAACUAAUCAUUAAUGAAAAGAAAUCUUCUGGGACAAUCUGUAUUCUGGGCCUGCUUAGAAAACAGUUGAGCAACAGAGUGAUGGAACCACUCUGGAGAGGGGCAGAGAUAACUUACCUGCAGAGGAGGAAAACCUGAUGAAUAACUCUGGGUGUGCCUCCCAGGCCCUGAGGGGCUGCUCCAGGCUCAACGAGCACCUCCUGGAGGUUAGACAGUCAAGGGACGCCUGAUGCGUGGAUUAUCAUUAUGGGCGACUUCUGUUUAUGGCUGUACUGGGUCUUAGCUCUGGCACACAGGGUCUUUGUUGCCUGAUGUGAGAUAUCUUUGCAGCUUGCAGGAUCAUUUGUUGCGGAAUACGGGGUCUUAUCUGCAGCAUGUGGGGUCUAAUUCCUUGACCAAGGAUCAACCUGGGCCCCCUGAAUUGGGAGCUCCGAGUCCUAGCCAUUGGACCACCAGGGAAGUCCCAUUACAGGGGACUUUUUGAGACAGCAUUUCUGGUAUGGAUUUGAGCAGGGCGCAACGCUGAAGAGAGGAGGGGCUGUUUCAGGGUCUGAGGAGACCCUUUCACUCCAGAGAAAGGACGGCCUACAGCUCUUACCUAUCAAGGAAUGACCCUGGACGGCCCAAGGAAGUUUCCUACCUGCAGAGCCUGGCCAGGUGCGCCAGGCCUGGGUGGGGAUGUGCUGAAUGGUCACGAAAGUGCUGGGGAGCAGCAGGCUGGGAGCUGGAGCCCUGGGUACCUACCCCAGUGCUGUGCUGACUGCCCCCGUGGAGGCUUGGCACUCGUCAGCAAAAUGGAGGGGUUUCUCCCCACCUUCCUGCCUCGCCUGAAGCCGCUCGGAGGGGGACAUGAGCUACGGAUGUGAUGGUCAGAGCAGACUUGCGCCAGGAAACUUGGGGUCUGGAGGGUAGCUGCUUUCCUGGCCAAAUGACCCCCUUCCUCUCUGUUCCAGGAUGUUCGACUCCCCCUUAUCCACCAUGGUCACCAUGUGACCUGGUCCCUUACUUUCUGGCUUGUCUCUGGACUCCCCCGCCCCCCAGGUAACACAGGCUCACUCAGGACCAGGCAGCUGCAUGUUGCUGUUACCUCUCCUAUGCCCAGCAUAAGGCCUGGGCAAGAGGUCAUCCUCCAAGUCCCCAGGUGAAGGCUACCUAAGCAACGGACUCUGCCUCCUCCAGGGGGAUUUGAUCUUGGAGGGGCCCUGGAGGCAGGGUACUGCUGCCCAUCAUGGUGUUAAGAGGCUAUAAAGAGCCCAGGUGGGGACAUCCAUUUGAUCCCUGCAGACAGGUAAAAUGGGACUCAGAGGUUCAGUGAAUUGCCCAAAACAAACCAGCUUCCAAGCCAGAACGGCCCAGCCACAGGGCUUUAACUAACGCCUAGGCAAGGGGGUGUGUGUGCACACGCUGUCUGCCGUGAGUGCGAAGCUGUGGGCAUCUGGUGGUGGAAGGAAAGCCAGGUAGGUGACGCUGGGUGCUGCUGACGCCUGUCCUGCCCGAACCCCACCAUCUUUGUCUUGAUUUUCCUUCCUUGUGGUAACUCUUGGAGACCCGGAGAUGGCCCCAGGGCCCCGUGAGUCUUUCUGCCUCUAGGCUCUGAGACCCGAAAGCAAAUCAGGUGUCCACAUGCCCCACACCCUGGGUGCCUCCCUGGCUCUCGAUACUUUGCACUGUUGUGGUGACCCCAGGGCAGGGAGGGACCCAGGAGGGACCUGGAGCCCUGGUGGGGGUAGGCCUUCUCCUUGAGUCUCCCUCUCUGCAAAAAGCUGUGUAGACACUGUUGCCCCGGGAGUGAGGGGUGGAUCCUUCCAAGACGUGCCUGCUUGGCUCCAGGUUCUGUGCUGGAGCAUCCGCACUCCUCUGCGUCUCUCUGGUCCCAAUAAUCCACGCAGGGAUGCAUCUUUGUUUUCAUUUUGUAGAUGAAGAAACAGAGGCACAAACAGAUGAAGUUAAUGCGCCUGCAGUCCUCUGGCCUGUAAGUGGCUGAGCUGGGAUUCAGACCCAGGACUUGGAAACAAGCUGGCUCCUUUUGAGCAGGAUGUGAUGAGCGGUAGUUGAGCUAAGGAGGGCUGCUCCGCUCUGCACGCCCCCAGCCAGAUUCUGACCACAUCUGGUUGGCCUCCCUGGGCCUGGGACUUCCUGGGUUUGCUUUCGAGGGACCAGGGAGAGGAACCUAUAAGAAAGCAAUAGCAGGGUGGGAGCAGAGGGCAGGGUGGGGACCUGGGCAGGCAUGCCGGCAGCUGGAGGGGGCCCAGGUGGAAGCAGUCAGCAUCCUUGGGGCACUCACCCUCUUCAGGGUGGGUGGGUGGGUGGGUGGGUGGGGGACUGGGCUCUGUGAAGUAGUGGCUUCUCCGAAGCUCCAGCCCCACCCACCCCAGCCCCUGGACUCUCAGGCCACAGUGGGCUCUGGAUGGUCCGUGUUGGAGCCCGGCCAUGAACUGCACCCAGCUGGGCAGCCAGCUGUAGUCUGGCUGGGUUCAAGGAGGGAUGACAGGCUGGAGGUGAGUGGGGAGAGUGGAGAGAGGCUGUUUGACCUUGAAACUAAGUGUACCAAAGCAAUGGACAUAACGGCCUGGGAACUGGCAACUCAGACACUCUUUUAUUGUUUAAUUUCACUUACUUUUUGAAUAAGUGAUACACUCCUGUGGGUUAAGAAGAAGGUAUACAGGGGAAAGUCUUCCUCCAGCCCGUGUCCAGCAGUGGGGCUUCUCUUCCCAGAGGUAACCGUGGUGACUGCGAGUCUGUCCAGAGGUGAUCUAAUCUGUGCAGACAGAUUUGUAGAGACAGUAUUUUAAAACGUGUUUGUGUACAUUUGGGAACUAACGUUAAGUGCAUCACUUUUUCACUUAACUCUGUGUAUCUUGGUAAUCUGUAUAUAAAGAGCUUCCCUCAUCUCUAAUUAUGACUGGGUAAUAUUCGAUUCUAUGGAUGUACUGUUAUUUUUUUUAAGAAAAUAUAAAGUUAGGUAGAGCAAUCUACAUACAGCGAAGUGCACAGAUCUUCAGCGGACGACGCAACGAUGGUGUGUGUGUGCAACCACGUGACCACCAUCCGAAGAGAGACUUUGGCACUUUCCUGGAAAGUUCCUUUAUGCCCCUUCCCGGUUAAUACCCCUCUCAAGGAGUUACCAUUAUUCUGACUUACAUAAGUGCACCUUGAGUUCCUUGUCUUAAAAGGAACUCAGGUCCUGCUGGAGCUCACUCGCUUGUGAGUUGUGAGGAUAACGCAGGUAUCUAGGGUAGUGCUUGGUCCAGAGAAAUUGUCCAGCAGAGGAUGGAGUCCAGGGUUGUCAUACAGAAGUCCCUGGUCAGUGGUCUUUCUCCCGCCUCUGCCUGGGCUCUCCAGUUACCUCCGCAUCCCUCUGCCCGCCUUGCCCCCUCCCCCGCCCCCACACACAUUCUCACCCACACACCGUCUAGCCACCGACAGAGACCAAGAGGGCCGUUGUGCAAAGCCCAGGCUGCUUGAAUGGCUCCAUUGUUCCUGGGCUGAGUUCCCAGAGCCAGCCGGUGCAGCGCUGACCAGGGCUGGGCUGUGCAGUGUGAGGUGCCCACGGGCCGCUGGCCAAGGGCUGACCACACCCGGCAGGACACCCCUCCUCCCCUCCUCCCACAGUCUUCCCAGUUUGGCCUGAGGGCCAGGCAGGGGAGCCCCGAAGACACUUCCUGGUCUCCGCUCAGCCUCCCGGCUCCUGAAAGACCAGCCCGGCAGGUGGUGGACUCUUGAGCUGGCAUCUCAUGUUGGGGGCAGAUGAGGAGUGGGGACCAGGUAAGGAAAGGGGACGUGGACGCUGAAUGCUUUCUUACCCCUCCUCCCCUCCUGGGGUCAAUGGACGCGGACAGCCUGGGAGUCUGGAGGAAGCGGCCCACAGGGAUCUGCCUGGAAGCAGCCCCUCUCGAGGCAUCUCCCCGCUGGGAACUGGCCCAGGAGGGCAGGCCUCAUGGUUGCCUCGGGGUCAGACCUUCCCAGACGGAGACUUCUGCAUCCUGGCAUGAAAGGUGAAGCUGCACCCCUGCUGAGCUUCUCCAAAAUUCCUGGGAGGUGAGGCCUCAGGACAGCCCCAGCAUUGAUCUCCUGGCAUCUACCUGUCUACACCCUCCAAUGCCCACCCGUGAGAUGCAGUGUGGGGCCCACCUUUGCCCUGCUUGUCACCAUACGCCAGCAGAGAAUGUGACCUUCUCAGCACCAGCCAGGGCUGGGGAAGUGAGCCUCAGGGGCUAACGUGAGGUGAGUCCUCAUGAGCAAGAGGAAGUGGGGGCCUGUGAGGAGUGAGAGGCAGAGGGCAGGAGCUGGCCAGGAGGCAGGUGAG
ensembl:lncRNA